CUACUGUUUAGUUCAUCACUGAAAAGGCAGCAUUUCAACAGUUUCUGACACAAAUUGCCAAGAUAUGUAGCUGCUGGCAGUACUAUCUCAGUGGGACCCUAGUAAUCUAGUAGGAAAUGUGUGUGCAUUGUCUACCAGAUUUAGUGAUUGAUCAAGUACUACUGAGUCUACCCCUGAAAAACUCUGACAUCACAGAAAGUUUUGAAGUUGCUGGGGCUGCUGAGGUCGAGAAAUAACAAAUUUCAAACAUUACAUCAUAAGAUACAAUCUCAUCAUUAGCCAAAUGUGAAGAUGGGUGGUAACAAGGAUAAAAACCAAAGGAACAACUGAAGUUGGUAAAGCAGACACAGCCACGGUCAGUUAGAGGAGGUGUUUCCACCAACAAAAUUUCAGCUCAAGGAGUCCUCGCAGCAGAAUUUAACUUGAGGAAUUUCCCGAGGCUCGGGUGGUCGUUAUUCUUGUAUUGAAAUAAGAUGACAAGGCUCCCCUCCACCUCCACAUGGACUUCCAUUUUAUUGGAGCCCUUAGGAAGCCAGAAUAGCAAGCAGAUGCAGUUUGUGGUGAGUAGGGGAUUAGAGAAAAUUCAGGGAUGGGGGAUAGACUAAAC